UAGUGGCGAACGGGUGAGUAACACGUGGGCAAUCUGCCCUUCACUCUGGGACAAGCCCUGGAAACGGGGUCUAAUACCGGAUAACACUCCUGCCCGCAUGGGCGGGGGUUAAAAGCUCCGGCGGUGAAGGAUGAGCCCGCGGCCUAUCAGCUUGUUGGUGAGGUAGUGGCUCACCAAGGCGACGACGGGUAGCCGGCCUGAGAGGGCGACCGGCCACACUGGGACUGAGACACGGCCCAGACUCCUACGGGAGGCAGCAGUGGGGAAUAUUGCACAAUGGGCGAAAGCCUGAUGCAGCGACGCCGCGUGAGGGAUGACGGCCUUCGGGUUGUAAACCUCUUUCAGCAGGGAAGAAGCGAAAGUGACGGUACCUGCAGAAGAAGCGCCGGCUAACUACGUGCCAGCAGCCGCGGUAAUACGUAGGGCGCAAGCGUUGUCCGGAAUUAUUGGGCGUAAAGAGCUCGUAGGCGGCUUGUCACGUCGGGUGUGAAAGCCCGGGGCUUAACCCCC
rnacentral:rRNA from 1 species